rnacentral:rRNA from 1 species
AAUUUACAAUGAAGAGUUUGAUCCUGGCUCAGGAUGAACGCUAGCUACAGGCUUAACACAUGCAAGUCGAGGGGCAUCAUG